AUUGAACGCUGGCGGCAGGCCUAACACAUGCAAGUCGAGCGGAUGAAGGGAGCUUGCUCCUGGAUUCAGCGGCGGACGGGUGAGUAAUGCCUAGGAAUCUGCCUGGUAGUGGGGGAUAACGUCAGGAAACGGGCGCUAAUACCGCAUACGUCCUGAGGGAGAAAGUGGGGGAUCUUCGGACCUCACGCUAUCAGAUGAGCCUAGGUCGGAUUAGCUAGUUGGUGGGGUAAAGGCCUACCAAGGCGACGAUCCGUAACUGGUCUGAGAGGAUGAUCAGUCACACUGGAACUGAGACACGGUCCAGACUCCUACGGGAGGCAGCAGUGGGGAAUAUUGGACAAUGGGCGAAAGCCUGAUCCAGCCAUGCCGCGUGUGUGAAGAAGGUCUUCGGAUUGUAAAGCACUUUAAGUUGGGAGGAAGGGCAGUAAGUGAAUACCUUGCUGUUUUGACGUUACCAACAGAAUAAGCACCGGCUAACUUCGUG
rnacentral:rRNA from 1 species